CCUACGGGUGGCAGCAGUGGGGAAUAUUGGACAAUGGGGGGAACCCUGAUCCAGCCAUGCCGCGUGUGUGAAGAAGGCCCUCGGGUUGUAAAGCACUUUCAGUGAGGAAGAACGCCUGGUGGUUAAUACCCAUCAGGAAAGACAUCACUCACAGAAGAAGCACCGGCUAACUCCGUGCCAGCAGCCGCGGUAAUACGGAGGGUGCGAGCGUUAAUCGGAAUUACUGGGCGUAAAGCGCGCGUAGGUGGCUUGAUAAGCCGGUUGUGAAAGCCCCGGGCUCAACCUGGGAACGGCAUCCGGAACUGUCAAGCUAGAGUGCAGGAGAGGAAGGUAGAAUUCCCGGUGUAGCGGUGAAAUGCGUAGAGAUCGGGAGGAAUACCAGUGGCGAAGGCGGCCUUCUGGACUGACACUGACACUGAGGUGCGAAAGCGUGGGUAGCAAACAGGAUUAGAUUACCCGAGUAGUC
rnacentral:rRNA from 1 species